rnacentral:rRNA from 1 species
AUUGAACGCUGGCGGCAGGCCUAACACAUGCAAGUCGAGCGGAUGAAGGGAGCUUGCUCCUGGAUUCAGCGGCGGACGGUUGAGUAAUGCCUAGGAAUCUGCCUGGUAGUGGGGGAUAACGUCCGGAAACGGGCGCUAAUACCGCAUACGUCCUGAGGGAGAAAGUGGGUGAUCUUCGGACCUCACGCUAUCAGAUGAGCCUAGGUCGGAUUAGCUAGUUGGUGGGGUAAAGGCCUACCAAGGCGACGAUCCGUAACUGGUCUGAGAGGAUGAUCAGUCACACUGGAACUGAGACACGGUCCAGACUCCUACGGGAGGCAGCAGUGGGGAAUAUUGGACAAUGGGCGAAAGCCUGAUCCAGCCAUGCCGCGUGUGUGAAGAAGGUCUUCGGAUUGUAAAGCACUUUAAGUUGGGAGGAAGGGCAGUAAGUUAAUACCUUGCUGUUUUGACGUUACCAACAGAAUAAGCACCGGCUAACUUCGUG